rnacentral:rRNA from 1 species
UGGCUCAGAACGAACGCUGGCGGCAUGCUUAACACAUGCAAGUCGAACGCUCAUUCGGGCUUCGGUUCGGAUGGGAGUGGCGCACGGGUGAGUAGCGCGUGGGAACCUGCCCUGGAGUGGGGGAUAACCGAGGGAAACCUCGGCUAAUACCGCAUGCGCCCGGUGGAGACACCGGGGAAAGAUUUAUCGCUCUAGGAGGGGCCCGCGUCGGAUUAGCUGGUUGGUGGGGUAACGGCCUACCAAGGCGAUGAUCAGUAGCUGGUCUGAGAGGAUGAUCAGCCACACUGGGACUGAGACACGGCCCAGACGACUACGGGAGGCAGC